AUUGUGCUAUAGCUAUUAAAAGUAUUUUUUUAUUGAACAAAAACGAAAAUUGACUUGCAUGCUACAAGUGUGCGAAUUGCUAGGCGCUUAACAUCUCCAUCAUAGCCGCUUGACAACUCUGAAAAUGAAUCAUUAAAAUGUUGAGGGUAGAGCGCAAUUUCGCUGAGUGAGCGAGGAGAACAUUUCGAGUUCAUUAUAAUAAAAGAAAUGAAACGAAACGAAUGAAUGCAUACAAACAAAUACAUACACACACACUGAGUACUCUGCAAACAUUGUUGCACAGCAACAGCAACGCCAACCGCAGAUAGCAGCAGAAAUUUCUGUAGUAAAACGGAAGUUGUUGUCGUAGUCAGCUUCGCGGAAGAAGCACGAAUAGAGGCUAGUGCUAACGUAAUUUUUCUCCAAAGCAACAAUUUGACGACAUUAAAAAAAGAAACGCACCUUUGCUACCUGAGCAAAGUUAACGCAAGCGAAAGAGCGCGAGAGGAAGAGAGAGAGAUAACUCUCAUACAGCUAGAGUUCUUCGAUGGCACAAAGGUUAUCAGCAAUAACAAAGAAUAGUAACAGUAGCAACAACAAUAAAAACAACUGCUUUCAGCAAUAACUGCACCUGCAACUCAAAAGCAAUCGCCGAACAACGCCUAAAAAACAAGUUAUAUAGAUAUAUAUGUUAUUCAGAGAGAGGGAGACAAAACGAUACACAUAAG